GACGAACGCUGGCGGCGUGCUUAACACAUGCAAGUCGAACGGAAAGGCCCUGCUCUUGCUGGUUGCUCGUGUGGCGCACGGGUGAGUAACACGUGAGUAACCCGCCCUUGUCUUUGUGAUAACUUUUGGAAACUCGGGCUCAUACCGGAUAUGAGCUCCUGCUGCAUGGUGUGGGUUGGUAAGUUUCGGCGGUUGGGGAUGGACUCGCUGCUUAUCGGCUUGAUGGUGGGGUAGUGGCUUACCAAGGGUUUGACGGGUAGCCGACCUGAGAGGGUUAACGGCGACAAUGGGACUGAGAGACGGAGCAGAAUCGUACGGGAGGCAGCAGUGGAGAAUAUGGCACAGUAGGGGGGAGCCUGAGACAACAACGCCGCGAGCGGGAAAACGGCCUUCGAGGUAUAAACAGAUGUGGCAUGUAACAAGGAGUGAGUGACGGUAAUGAGUAAGGAAGCCACGGCUAACUACGUG
rnacentral:rRNA from 1 species